rnacentral:lncRNA from 1 species
CUUCUCUAGCCUGAGCCUGACACACUAUUCAAGCUAGACAUGGAUGUGGCUCGUAACACCUGAUGACCAAACGGAUCUACGGCACCAUCGAAUCCCAAACUUUAACUGCCAAAACUAUUGUUUUUCAUCCUGUAGUCCCUUUUAGAAUUACUAAACGUCCUUUUUUGGGCCGAGAUUUCCAGGAAUGCUUUCUCGGGGUUUGUGUGCAAGUAUUUCAAACCAUACAAAGCUAGAAAUUAGAAGUCAUUCCAUCUUUAUUAUCGUAGAGCCUUCCAGCAGUUCCUAAACCGGUCUAGUCGGAGCACGUUAUCAUUCUAGUUAGUUCUGAGUGAAUUCCCUCGGUAUGAUAAUUCUUUCAUCAGUUUGUUCCCCGUUUCUUCUCUAGCCUGAGCCUGACAAACUAUUCUAGCUAGACAUGCGUGUGGCUCGUAACACCUGAUGACCAAACGGAUCUAUAGCACCAUCGAAUCUCAAACUUUAACUGCCAAAACUAUUGUUUUCAUCCUGUAGUCCCUUUUAGAAUUACUAAACUUCCUUUUUUGGGCCGAGAUUUAGAGGAACGCUUUCUGGGGUUUGUGUGCAAGUAUUUCAAACCAUACAGACCUAAAAAUUAGAAGUCAUUCCAUCUUUAUUCCCCUAGAGCCUUCCAGCAGUUCCUAAACCGCUCUAGUCGGAGCACGUUAUCAUUAUUGUUAGUUCUGAGUGAAUUCCCUCGGUAUGAUAAUUCUUUCAUCAGUUUGUUCCCUGUUUCUUCUCUAUCCUGAGCCUGACACACUAUUCUAGCUAGACAUGGGUGUGGCUCGUAACACCUGAUGACUAAAUGGAUCGACGGCACCAUCGAAUCUCAAACUUUAACUGCCAAAACUAUUGUUUUUCAUCCUGUAGUCCCAUUUAGAAUUAGUAAACGUCCUUUUUUGGGCCGAGAUUUAGAGGAACGCUUUCUCGGGGUUUGUGUGCAAGUAUUUCAAACCAUACGGACCUAAAAAUUAGAAGUCAUUCCAUCUUUAUUCCCCUAGUCAUCAGGUAUACACUCAAGUCGGAGCACGUUAUCAUUCUUGUUAGUUCUGAGUGAAUUCCCUCGGUAUGAUAAUUCUUUCAUAAAUUUGUUCCCCGUUUCUUAUAUGGCCUGAGCCUGACACACUAUUCUAGCUAGACAUGGGUGUGGCUCGUAACACCUGAUGACCAAACGGAUCUACGGCACCAUCAAAUCUCAAACUUUAACUGCCAAAACUAUUCUUUUUCAUUCUGUAGUCCCUUCUAGAAUUACUAAACGUCCUUUUUUGGGCCGAGAUUUCCAGGAACGCUUUCUCGGGGUUUGUGUGCAUGUAUUUCAAACCAUACAGACCUAAAAAUUAUAAGUCAUUCCAUCUUUAUUCCCGUAGAGCCUUCCAGUAGUUCCUAAACCGCUCCAGUCGGAGCAUGUUAUCAUUCUUGUUAGUUCUAAGUGAAUUCCCUCGGUAUGAUAAUUCUUUCAUCAGUUUGUUCCCCGUUUCUUCUCUAGCCUGAGCCUGGCACACUAGUCUAGCUAGACAUGGGUGUGGCUCGUAACACCCGAUGACUAAAUGGAUCGACGGCACCAUCGAAUCUCAAACUUUAACUGCCAAAACUAUUGUUUUUCAUCCUGUAGUCCCAUUUAGAAUUACUAAACGUCCUUUUUUGGGCCGAGAUUUAGAGGAACGCUUUCUCGUGGUUUGUGUGCAAGAAUUUCAAACCAUACGGACCUAAAAAUUAGAAGUCAUUCCAUCUUUAUUCCCCUAGAGCCUUCCAGUAGUUCCUAAACCGCUCUAGUCGGAGCACGUUAUCAUUCUUGUUAGUUCUGAGAGAAUUCCCUCGGUAUGAUAAUUCUUUUAUCAGUUUGUUCCCCGUUUCUUCUCUAGCCUGAGCCCGACACACUAUUCUAGCUAGACAUGGGUGUGGCUCGUAACACCUGAUGACCAAACGGAUCUACGGCACCAUCGAAUCUCAAACUUUAACUGCCAAAACUAUUGUUUUUCAUCCUGUAGUCCCUUUUAGAAUUACUAAAUGUCCUUUUUUGGGCCGAGAUUUCCAGGAACGCUUUCUCAGGGUUUGUGUGCAAGUAAUUCAAACCAUACGGACCUAAAAAUUAGAAGUCAUUCCAUCUUUAUUCCCCUAGAGCCUUCCAGCAGUUCCUAAACCGCUCAAGUCAGUGCACGUUAUCAUUCUUGUUAGUUCUAAGUGAAUUCCCUCGGUAUGAUAAUUUGUUCAUCAGUUUGUUCCCCGUUUCUUCUCUAGCCUGAGCCUGACACACUAUUCUAGCUAGACAUGGGUGUGGCUCGUAACACCUGAUGACCAAACGGAUCUACGACACCAUCGAAUCUCAAACUUUAACUACCAAAACUAUUGUUUUUCAUCCUCUAGUCCCUUUUAGAAUUACUAAACGUCCUUUUUUGGGCCGAGAUUUCCAGGAACGCUUUCUCGGGGUUUGUGUGCAUGUAUUUCAAACCAUACAGACCUAAAAAUUAGAAGUCAUUCCAUCUUUAUUCCCGUAGAGCCUUCCAGCAGUUCCUAAACCGCUCCAGUCGGAGCAUGUUAUCAUUCUUGUUUGUUCUGAGUGAAUUCCCUCGGUAUGAUAAUUCUAUCAUCAGUUUGUUCCCCGUUUCUUCUCUAGCCUGAGCCUGGCAAACUAUUCUAGCUAGACAUGGGUGUGGCUCGUAACACCUGAUGACCAAACGGAUCUACGACACCAUCGAAUCUCAAACUUUAACUACCAAAACUAUUGUUUUUCAUUCUAUAGUCCCUUCUAGAAUUUCUAAACGUCCUUUUUUGGGCCGAGAUUUCCAGGAAUGCUUUCUCGGGGUUUGUGUGCAAGUAUUUCAAAUCAUACGGACCUAAAAAUUAGAAGUCAUUCCAUCUUUAUUCCCCUAGAGCCUUCCAGUAGUUCCUAAACCGCUCCAGUCGGAGCACGUUAUCAUUCUUGUUAGUUCAUAGUGAAUUCCCUCGGUAUGAUAAUUCUUUCAUCAGUUUGUUCCCCGUUUCUUCUCUAGCCUGAGCCUGGCACAGUAUUCUAGCUAGACAUGGGUGUGGUCGUAACACCUGAUGACUAAAUGGAUCGACGGCACCAUCGAAUCUCAAACUUUAACUGCCAAAACUAUUGUUUUUCAUCCUGUAAUCCCAUUUAGAAUUACUAAACGUCCUUUUUUGGGCCGAGAUUUAGAGGAACGCUUUGUUGGGGUUUGUGUGCAAGUAUUUCAAACCAUACGGACCUAAAAAUUAGAACUCAUUCCAUAUUUAUUCCCCUUGAGCCUUCCAGCAGUUCCUAAACCGCUCUAGUCGGAGCACGUUAUCAUUCUUGUUAGUUCUAAGAGAAUUCCCUCGGUAUGAUAAUUCUUUUAUCAGUUUGUUCCCCGUUUCUUCUCUAGACUGGGCCCGACACACUAUUCUAGCUAGACAUGGGUGUGGCUCGUAACACCUGAUGACCAAACGGAUCUACGGCACCAUCGAAUCUCAAACUUCAACUGCCAAAACUAUUGUUUUUCAUCCUGUAGUCCCUUUUAGAAUUACUAAACGUCCUUUUUUGGGCCGAGAUUUCCAGGAACGCUUUCUCGGGGUUUGUGUGCAAGUAUUUCAAACCAUACGGACCUAAAAAUUAGAAGUCAUUCCAUCUUUAUUCCCGUAGAGCCAUCCAGCAGUUCCUAAACCGCUCCAGUCGGAGCACGUUAUCAUUCUUGUUAGUUCUGAGUGAAUUCCCUCGGUAUGAUAAUUCUUUCAUCAGUUUGUUCCCCGUUUCUUCUCUAGCCUGAGCCUGACAAACUAUUAUAGCUAGACAUGGGUGUGGCUCGUAACACCUGAUGACCAAACGGAUCUAUGGCACCAUCGAAUCUCAAACUUUAACUGCCAAAACUAUUGUUUUUCAUCCUGUAGUCCCUUUUAGAAUUACUAAACGCCCUUCUUUGGGACGAGAUUUCCAGGAACGCUUUCUCGGGGUUUGUGUGAAAGUAAUUCAAACCAUACGGACCUAAAAAUUAGAAGUCAUUCCAUCUUUAUUCCCGUGGAGCCUUCCAGUAGUUCCUAAACCGCUCCAGUCGGAGCACGUUAUCAUUCUUGUUAGUUCUGAGUGAAUUCCCUCGGUAUGAUAAUUCUUUCAUCAGUUUGUUCCCUGUUUCUUCUCUAGCCUGAGCCUGGCACACUAUUCUAGCUAGACAUGGGUGUGGCUCGUAACACCUGAUGACUAAACUGAUCAAUGACACCAUCGAAUCUCAAACUUUAACUGCCAAAACUAUUGUUUUUCAUCCUGUAGUCCCAUUUAGAAUUACUAAACGUCCUUUUUUGGGCCGAGAUUUCCAGGAACGCUUACUCGGGGUUUGUGUGCAAGUAUUUCAAACCAUACUGACCUAAAAAUUAGAAGUCAAUCCAUCUUUAUUCCCCUAGAGCCUUCCAGCAGUUCCUAAACCGCUCCAGUCGGAGCACGUUAUCAUUCUUGUUAGUUCUGAGUGAAUUCCCUCGGUAUGAUAAUUCUUUCAUCAGUUUGUUCCUUGUUUCUUCUCUAGCCUGAACCUGACACACUAUUCUAGCUAGACAUGGGUGUGGCUCGUAACACCUGAUGACCAAACGGAUCUACGGCACCAUCGAAUCUCAAACUUUAACUGCCAAAACUAUUAUUUUUAAUCCUCUAGUCCCAUUUAGAAUUACUAAACGUCCUUUUUUGGGCCGAGAUUUAGAGGAACGCUUUCAUGCGGUUUGUGUGCAAGUAUUUCAAACCAUACGGACCUAAAAAUUAGAAGUCAUUCCAUCUUUAUUCCCCUAGAGCCUUCCAGCAGUUCCUAAACCGCUCCAGUCGGAGCAUGUUAUCAUUCUUGUUAGUUCUGAGUGAAUUCCCUCGGUAUGAUAAUUCUUUCAUCAGUUUGUGGCCCGUUUCUUCUCUAGCCUGAGCCUGACACACUAUUCUAGCUAGACGUGGGUGUGGCUCGUAACACCUGAUGACCAAACGGAUCUACGGCACCAUCGAAUCUCAAACUUUAAGUGCCAAAACUAUUAUUUUUAAUCCUGUAGUCCCAUUUAGAAUUAC